rnacentral:rRNA from 1 species
CAGUAGCCACGGGAAUACAGAGGUCCCGAGCGUUGUUCGGAUUCACUGGGCGUAAAGGGUGUGUAGGAGGUUGGAUAAGUCAGGUGUGAAAUCCCGCAGCUCAACUGCGGAACUGCAUUCGAUACUGUUCAACUAGAGGAUCGGAGGGGGAAGCGGAAUUCUUGGUGUAGCGGUGAAAUGCGUAGAUAUCAAGAGGAACACCGGUGGCGAAGGCGGCUUCCUGGAAGAUACCUGACUCUGAAACACGAAAGCCAGGGGAGCGAAUGGGAUUAGAUACCCCCGUAGUCCCUGUCUCUUAUAC